AGAGUUUGAUCCUGGCUCAGGAUGAACGCUGGCGGCGUGCCUAAUACAUGCAAGUCGAGCGAACGGACGAGAAGCUUGCUUCUCUGAUGUUAGCGGCGGACGGGUGAGUAACACGUGGAUAACCUACCUAUAAGACUGGGAUAACUUCGGGAAACCGGAGCUAAUACCGGAUAAUAUUUUGAACCGCAUGGUUCAAAAGUGAAAGACGGUCUUGCUGUCACUUAUAGAUGGAUCCGCGCUGCAUUAGCUAGUUGGUAAGGUAACGGCUUACCAAGGCAACGAUGCAUAGCCGACCUGAGAGGGUGAUCGGCCACACUGGAACUGAGACACGGUCCAGACUCCUACGGGAGGCAGCAGUAGGGAAUCUUCCGCAAUGGGCGAAAGCCUGACGGAGCAACGCCGCGUGAGUGAUGAAGGUCUUCGGAUCGUAAAACUCUGUUAUUAGGGAAGAACAUAUGUGUAAGUAACUGUGCACAUCUUGACGGUACCUAAUCAGAAAGCCACGGCUAACUACGUGCCAGCAGCCGCGGUAAUACGUAGGUGGCAAGCGUUAUCCGGAAUUAUUGGGCGUAAAGCGCGCGUAGGCGGUUUUUUAAGUCUGAUGUGAAAGCCCACGGCUCAACCGUGGAGGGUCAUUGGAAACUGGAAAACUUGAGUGCAGAAGAGGAAAGUGGAAUUCCAUGUGUAGCGGUGAAAUGCGCAGAGAUAUGGAGGAACACCAGUGGCGAAGGCGACUUUCUGGUCUGUAACUGACGCUGAUGUGCGAAAGCGUGGGGAUCAAACAGGAUUAGAUACCCUGGUAGUCCACGCCGUAAACGAUGAGUGCUAAGUGUUAGGGGGUUUCCGCCCCUUAGUGCUGCAGCUAACGCAUUAAGCACUCCGCCUGGGGAGUACGACCGCAAGGUUGAAACUCAAAGGAAUUGACGGGGACCCGCACAAGCGGUGGAGCAUGUGGUUUAAUUCGAAGCAACGCGAAGAACCUUACCAAAUCUUGACAUCCUUUGACAACUCUAGAGAUAGAGCCUUCCCCUUCGGGGGACAAACUGACAGGUGGUGCAUGGUUGUCGUCAGCUCGUGUCGUGAGAUGUUGGGUUAAGUCCCGCAACGAGCGCAACCCUUAAGCUUAGUUGCCAUCAUUAAGUUGGGCACUCUAAGUUGACUGCCGGUGACAAACCGGAGGAAGGUGGGGAUGACGUCAAAUCAUCAUGCCCCUUAUGAUUUGGGCUACACACGUGCUACAAUGGACAAUACAAAGGGCAGCGAAACCGCGAGGUCAAGCAAAUCCCAUAAAGUUGUUCUCAGUUCGGAUUGUAGUCUGCAACUCGACUACAUGAAGCUGGAAUCGCUAGUAAUCGUAGAUCAGCAUGCUACGGUGAAUACGUUCCCGGGUCUUGUACACACCGCCCGUCACACCACGAG
rnacentral:rRNA from 1 species